CCAAUCGAGGCGAUUCCGGUGGCGUUGGAAAGCUUGUUCUGAGAGCUUUCUUUUGAUACCAAUUUUGAAGCAAAUGGAGGUCGGAUGAGUGAGAUAUGGAGGAGAGAAGUUUCGGGUUUUUCAAGCUUUUUCGUCAGAUCUACGACGAUCCGACCGUUGGAUCGACGAUCCGAGACCACAUAUGGACUGAGGAAGAGGAGAGGAACAUGGUGGUAUGAUCAGACCCGGCAAAUGUCACCGGCGACCGGCGAUCACGGCGGUGGCUCCGGUGAGCUAUGGAGAUGGUUCAACUUCCAGAGGCUUCCUCAUAAAUUUUUGGAAUUUUUGAGACACAGAUAAACUUCGGGUGAUCGAGAUCAACUAUUUUCCUGCAUCCAGCAGCCACAAUAGUCGACGGUGUACUGCUACAGGAGGAGACAUUUUUCAGAAUAACCUGUCCCUUUCCUCUCAGGUUAUGAAAAGAUUACUUAAUUGUAUUAUUAUUCUCUAAAUUUGUAAUUUAGGACUCCGCAUGUGCUAGUAGUAGCAUUAAGCCUAUCAGAGACUGUAUGAAUUCAAGUUUUCAUAUUAAUAAAUGAAAAGAAAAAAUUUUUAUGA